GAUUUCAACUAAAAAUGUCAUCAACAACAAAGUUGUAUAACUCAUCAAUAUCUAUAACUUUUAUUUUGGUCAUUUUUUUAUCUGCCAAAGUGAUAGUAACAUUUUUCACGAAAUUUAGAUAUCUCUCUUACAGUUUAUAAAACCAUAUAAGAGAUAUGUAAAUUUUGUGAACAAUGUUACUAUAACUCUAUCGGAUGAAGAAAUGACAAAAGUAAAAUUUAUAGAUAUUGAUGAGUUAUACAAUUUUGUUGUUUAUGACUUUUUCAGUUGAAGUC
rnacentral:pre_miRNA from 1 species